AUACGAAAACAUGUGAUUAAUUUUGUCCCGCUUUCUCAAGGGGACUCCAAAAAUUGUAUAUAAUACUCAAUGUAUGCUCCUUUGCACGGAAAUCUUUAGUAAAAGGCGAAAGAUUUUCACGGUUAAAUGCAGAGGAACCAGAGUUGAAG
ensembl:ncRNA F38E11.23 ncRNA